CUUGUUUUGACGCAUCGCAUUCUCCAAGGAUCUUUUAUCUUAAAUGAAAGAUCCUUGGCAUUCUCUCAGUUGUGUUCCCCAUCCCACUUCCAACUGAGAGAGUAUGAGGCUGAUCGCCGCACUCGAUUUUACCAUGCUGCUGCUUAUCGAGAAAGCUGUCGCGGCGAUCAGCCCCUAUUAGUCUUGAUGGUAUAAUAGAAUAAUGCAUUUGGGAAAACUAAUUAUGGAUUUCUUUAAAAAUUACAUGCACACCUAGUUAAUGAUUUGAUAUAAAUACAAAGAAUGUUUUUACAAAUGGUGAGAUUUUAUUUAAUUUUUACCAAACUAAUACAGAUUUAAUUAUCUUCACCAGACGAGUCGCUGUGGAUGGUGACAAAUAUCUUUUUGGCAGGAGGAACAGCGUCUUCCAAAGAAGCAUCAUGUCUCUUGCUGCCCUCCCUAGUUUCUCGCUUGUAAGAUUUGCUCUCAUGGGCAGCAGCAUAUACCUUUUCAAGUCUCAAAAUGAUUGUGAUACGCUAAGAAGAUAUUUAUUUUUUUACUUGAAACUCUUCCUGGCAAUCUUUUUGCAUUUCAAAUGCCAUUUUAGAGAUGUCGUGGUUGCUUGGAUUGUACAUAAUUGCGUUAAGGAAGACAAGUCCGACAUCCCUUUGAAGCCCAUCAGCAGAUGUAAUGUUGCCAGUCUCAAUGUUUUUCUUAAUAGUUGACAAGUCCAUAGGCCU